UACGUAGGGUGCGAGCGUUGUCCGGAAUUAUUGGGCGUAAAGAGCUUGUAGGCGGUUUGUCGCGUCUGCCGUGAAAAUCCGGGGCUCAACCCCGGACUUGCGGUGGGUACGGGCAGACUAGAGUGUGGUAGGGGAGACUGGAAUUCCUGGUGUAGCGGUGAAAUGCGCAGAUAUCAGGAGGAACACCGGUGGCGAAGGCGGAUCUCUGGCCGAUACUGACGCUGAGGAGCGAAAGCGUGGGGAGCGAACAGG
rnacentral:rRNA from 1 species